UGUUUUUACUUUGGUUUAGAAGACAACCCAGCUAAGAGAAAGAGUUUUUUAGUGACUUGAAGAGUGAGGAGUGAACCACCUAUCACCAUGCUACUGCAAUACUUCAUGACACUUUCUUUAGCAUCAAGAAAUUUAUCUCAACAUGUGGAGUAAUGCUGUUGGUUUCUGUGAAUUCCGUUUUUACGGUUUUGUCAUCAUGAACGUUUCAGUGUGUUUCUUAGACAACUUUCUUUGUGGAAUCGUGCUGUCCUGGCACGGAAAUUCUUGAGCCAACGCUGGCUUUUGUCCAUGACCAACGUUCUGCUCCAUCCUUAUCUUGCCGACGUAAGCUAAUCCAGCUUCUGCUUCAUCGCUUCGUACACAAAAAUACAACUUGUCUUACUUCACUGACGAGUUGGAACACUUCAGUGGUCGCUUCCGUGCCGUGUUACACACCUGCAGUCAUUCACCACGGGAUUAUGCCCAGGUACCCGACAAUUUACUUAUUUUCGUAGAUUAUCUAUUCUAAUAGUAUACUUACUUGUGUCUGUAAUAAUUCCGAAAUCAGGCCCUACUUGCGCGCAAACGUAGUUUUACUUAGACGU